UGCCUAACACAUGCAAGUCGAACGCUGAACUCCCUGUAGCAAUACAGGGAGCUAGGCGUGGCGAACGGGUGAGUAACGCGUGGACAACCUGCCCGCGAGUGGGGGAUAACUCCGGGAAACUGGAGCUAAUACCGCAUAACGUCCCGAGGUCGUCGGAUCUUGGGAUCAAACCCGCAAGGGGCUCACGGAGGGGUCCGCGUCCGAUCAGCUAGUUGGUGAGGUAACGGCUCACCAAGGCGGAGACCGGUAGCCGAUCUGAGAGGAUGGUCGGCCACACUGGGACUGAGACACGGCCCAGACUCCUACGGGAGGCAGCAGUGGGGAAUAUUGCGCAAUGGGGGAAACCCUGACGCAGCGACGCCGCGUGGAGGACGAAGCCCUUUGGGGUUAAACUCC
rnacentral:rRNA from 1 species